rnacentral:tRNA from 1 species
AGCCUUGUAUUCAUUUUUGUGAUUAUAGAAUGCAAUUCUAUAGGGGUGAGAUUUAAAGAUACUUACCAAGGCCU